rnacentral:lncRNA from 10 species
UCCAGACCCUGUUUGCCUGGGUAUCACCAGUGGAGGCUGUGGAACAGCAAAUAUUGCAGAACAGAAAAUACUGCUGCCUGAUCCUUCCUCUGGAAACUUCGUCCUAGAGUGGCACCCACCUACAUGAGAUGUGCUGUUCUUGACGUCCUUACUUCUGUCCUCAGAAUCAUAUCUUCGCAUCUGAAAGAAGGCAACAGCAUUGAGCAACAAUCUGGGACUCUAUUUGAUAUCUUCCCUUGAGAAGUGUUAAAUGUUGCCAUAAUCUUGACAGUUCAAAAGUUAGUCAUGUGGUUGAUAUUUUACCAAUGAGAUGAAUGUGGUGAGUAUCACUUUUCCUUUAAUUAGUUUUGUCAGUACAAACUUGGCAAGAGAUAAUAGUAAAGAGAUAUUGGCAUUUAGGCGUGUUCAUACUUACUUUUAUGAUUUAGGAUUAUGACAGCUUUCAUGGUCAGUAUCCUAAGAGCAACCCUGUCUGGUUUAUAAAUUCUGAAAUUACAGUGUUUUACUUCUUUCCAGUCCUGCAGACAGAAGCAGCAACACUCAUCAAACACUGCAGUUUUGAUCAGAUACGGUCAUGUAGGCAUGAAAACAUUUUAUUUUAUAUUAAUCAACUGAUAUUUAUGAUUCAUGUGGAAAAAUAGGUCUUUCAUUUUCUCUUUUUCUGACAAAGUUUGCUGUAUAGUUUAAUCUGUUUGAGUGCUUUUUUUUU